CAGUAGCCGCGGUAAUACGUAGGUCCCGAGCGUUGUCCGGAUUUAUUGGGCGUAAAGCGAGCGCAGGCGGUUAGAUAAGUCUGAAGUUAAAGGCUAUGGCUUAACCAUAGUACGCUUUGGAAACUGUUUAACUUGAGUGCAAGAGGGGAGAGUGGAAUUCCAUGUGUAGCGGUGAAAUGCGUAGAUAUAUGGAGGAACACCGGUGGCGAAAGCGGCUCUCUGGCUUGUAAUUGACGCUGAGGCUCGAAAGCGUGGGGAGCAAACAGGAUUAGAUACCCCAGUAGUCCCUGUCUCUUAUACA
rnacentral:rRNA from 1 species